UAUAUCUUCACACAUUUUGGACCCGCCUCAGCUGUGAAUUCUGAGCCUCACUCAUUCAAGUACAGCUGGAGCUCAGCAUUGAGAGUUUGACGUUUGGUGUCAGCGUUCAACAGGAGGAACCAACAACUUUACACAACAGUGUCAGCCCUUAUUUAGCCUGUCUGCGUUUCCUUUUUGAAACUGGAGUUGCAGGGACCUUCACUUUGAUUUGAAUAUUAUCUUGCCUUCUGGAGAGGUUUUUUUUUUUUCCUUUUCCGUUCUGCUUUUUCAUCUUUGAAACGAAGGCUCUGGUUUGGAAUUAGUGCCUGCACGGAUCAGUUCAGCUGCUAGGAACAGGGAGAGGCUGCUGACUUCAUUAUGGAAGAACACAACGGCUCUGCAGAAAGCCCCCUGCUGAGCCCAGGAAGGCACACUGCCAUUAAGUGUGGGUGGCUGAGGAAGCAAGGAGGUUUUGUGAAGACUUGGCACACUCGUUGGUUUGUACUCAAAGGAGAGCAGCUAUAUUAUUUCAAAGAUGAAGAUGAAGCCAAACCUUUGGUAAGUACAAAGGGAGUGCAUGGGAAAGAAGACAGAGAGCUUGGGGUGUGGAAGCUAUUUUUUUUUUUUUUUUAACCUUG